UCAUUUUUGUAUUAUAUAUAUAAUAAUUAUUCAUAUAAGUACAUGUUUUACUACCAACACAAUGUUAUGGGUGAGCCAGCUGACCGACCCAAGAUGGCCGGAUAUUCUGUUUCACUGAGUUAAACAUCUUAUUUUUGUCACUAAUUCAUCCUCCACCCUCCAUAUUUAAUAGUUUAUAUUUGUUGUUGUUUGCUUUCUUUCCCGUGUAGGAAAAUGGUCAACAACAACAACUGUUUUUGCAUCCAUAUCUGCUGUUUCCCUGCUGAUCAUCAUCAUACUCAUCAUCAUCCUCGCUGUCCUCUACAUCAGGAGGAGAAGAAUGUUCCUAGAACGGCCUGAACAAAGACCAGAGACGACACUGAGGUGAGGAGGAAGAGCUCAGUGUGGAGGCCUGUUAGAACCUUCAUCAUAUCAUGAAUAACUUAAAUAUUAAUCCUGUUUGUCUCCAAAAGGUCAAACUAUAUCCACGUACACUCUGGUUGUACUUAAUGUCCUUAAUGAAUCUGUGUGCGUGUCCUUCUUGUACACAGCGUGCACAGUAUCCACAGACACACGAUGACAGUUUGUAGAUGGAACUUCAUUAACCUCAAUGACCUUAAUUACAACCAUUAAACACAUGAGACCUCCAUGAGAACCUGUAGGGCCCAAAGUAGUCAUUAGAGAAGAAGCCUGUAGAGAUUCUACUAUCUGGUCCU